AGCGAACGCUAGCGGCGGGCUUAACACAUGCAAGUCGAGCGCAUCUCCUUCGGGAGGUGAGCGGCGAACGGGUGAGUAACACGUAGGUAACGUACCCUCUGGUGGGGAAUAACCCAGGGAAACUUGGGCUAAUACCGCAUGUGCCCUUCGGGGUGAAAGACUUCGGUUGCCAGAGGAUCGGCCUGCGGCCCAUUAUUUAAUCCUAGUUGGUAGGGUAACGGCCUACCAAGGGUACGAUGGGUAGCUGGUCUGAGAGGAUGAUCAGCCACACUGGGACUGAGACACGGCCCAGACUCCUACGGGAGGCAGCAGUGGGGAAUAUUGGACAAUGGGCGAAAGCCUGAUCCAGCCACGCCGCGUGAGUGAUGAAGGCCUCGGUU
rnacentral:rRNA from 1 species